AUUAUUUCCGGACAAAAAAUAAAAUAAGCAUUCCUCAGAAAAAAAUCGACUAAAAUGCCAAACCUCAGCACUGAGACAAAGCAAAGAAUAAGCACAGUUGUUUCUGUUGCAAAGACGACAUUUCGAUAUGGUUUCAUUCCAUACGUUCUUUAUUUAGGUUUCAAGAAAGGAGCUGAUGAAGGAAUGCCAGAGCUGUCUCUUUUAAGUUUACUAUGGCAAUAGAGUCCAGUUAUACGUUGAGAAGUGGUAUUAGAAGCAGAUCAACAGGAAUUGUAUUCACGCUUGCAAAAACAGAUGAAAUUAUGGCUUUACAAACGAAAUAUUUCAGCUGAACUAUUUUUAUAUAAAACAUGUUGUGUAUCAGGAUAUAUCCUAGUGUCAUGUAGUGACAUAAGAAUUAAAAAGAUAUUAAAAUGUAUUAAUUACAGAAAAAAAUAUCAUAGCUAACUCAAUACCUGAAGAAAUUUUAUGUAAAAAUUAUUUUAAAAAAAAUAAUAAAAAUAAAAAAGA
rnacentral:lncRNA from 1 species